rnacentral:rRNA from 1 species
CCUACGGGGGGCAGCAGUGGGGAAUAUUGGACAAUGGGGGGAACCCUGAUCCAGCCAUGCCGCGUGUGUGAAGAAGGCCCUCGGGUUGUAAAGCACUUUCAGUGAGGAAGAACGCCUGGUGGUUAAUACCCAUCAGGAAAGACAUCACUCACAGAAGAAGCACCGGCUAACUCCGUGCCAGCAGCCGCGGUAAUACGGAGGGUGCGAGCGUAAUCGGAAUUACUGGGCGUAAAGCGCGCGUAGGUGGCUUGAUAAGCCGGUUGUGAAAGCCCCGGGCUCAACCUGGGAACGGCAUCCGGAACUGUCAAGCUAGAGUGCAGGGGAGGAAGGUAGAAUUCCCGGUGUAGCGGUGAAAUGCGUAGAGAUCGGGAGGAAUACCAGUGGCGAAGGCGGCCUUCUGGACUGACACUGACACUGAGGUGCGAAAGCGUGGGUAGCAAACAGGAUUAGAUACCCUAGUAGUC